UCAUGUUGCUAAGACAAGACAGGACCCCGUAAAGAACGCUAGCAGCUAACAAACGUAUUUUUUUCAUUAGUUAUAAUGUUAUGAAUUGAUAUCUGCUUUACAAUCAAUUUACUGGAGUAUAGACGCAUGAAACCGAGGUUAGGUGAAUGAAGGGAGGACAUGGAAAGUGGUCCUGAAGAUGAGGCGUCUGUACAGGAAGAAAGCCCUGAGUCUGGUUAGGAGCUGGAUGCCUUCCCCAAGGUCCCAGAGAGCUAUGUCGAGACCACAGCCACAGGGGGGACAGUGUCCUUGAUAGCUUUACUGCCAUGGCACUGCUGGCUUCUUUGUGUACCGGGACACCUGGAUGAAGUAUGAAUACGAAGUGGAUAAAGAUUUCUCAAGUAAAUUGAGAAAAAAAAUAGAUAUUACAGUUGCCGUGAAAUGCCAACGACGCUGUUGCUGAUACAGAACAGGUUGAAGGAGGAGCAUUCUCUACAGGUCUUGUACAAGAGUGUUCUAAAUGGAGCCCCUACUGCCUUGCCCCCUAGAGAGGGCACCGCCUCAGAGCCCUUAAGUGCCUGUAGGAUACAUGGGCACGUCAACAAAGUGGCUGGGAACUUCCACAUCACAGUGGGAAAGCCUGUUCAUCAUCCUCGUGGCCAUGCUCAUACAGCAGCUUUUGUAAGCCAUGACAAAUCAUUCACUCCCAAAUAGAGGUUUUCACUGUCACAUUCCACCUGACUGCAUGUGAGCUGGGUUUCAUCAAUGCAUUGCAGCGUGCAACUUCUCCCAUCGGAUAGACCAUCUGUCUUUCGGAGAAGAGGUCCCCGGCAUCAUCAAUCCUCUGGACGGGACAGAGAAAAUCACCAGCAACCCAUAAUGAGAUGUUCCAGUAUUUCAUUACGGUGGUACCUACCAAACUGCACACGUCCAAGGUGUCGGCAGACACACACCAGUUCUCUGUGACGGAGAGGGUAAGUCCUGAUUUAGGCACAGAUCUAGUAUCAGCUUACCUUCCCCAAAUCCUCAAUAUUAACCAUCAGGGGGAAAGGAAUUCUAUUUGAUGUUGACCAUGAUGGAGGAUGCUGCAGUGGGUUCAGAUAAUGGAUCAGUCUCCUCAUCCAUCCAUCCAGUCCAUUCAGCUCCCUCUGCUGGCUGCCAAAAGUUACUUCUAGCUCUGCUGUAUAACACCACCACCUGAGACAGUCAUAGAUUUCUGUCUUACAAACACACAUAUUCACAUACACAAAGGCUAGAUGCUAGAAAGGCCUCUGUGUGUGUGUGUGUGUGUGUGUGUGUGUGUGUGUGUGUGUGUGUGUGUGUGUGUGUGUGUGUGUGUGUGUGUGUGUGUGUGUGUGUGUGUGUAAAGGAGAGAAUAACCCCCACCCCACUCUACCUACCCACUGUCUGGUCAAGGAGCCGGUGAUUAACCAUGCGGCGGGCAGCCACGGUGCGUCUGGGAUCUUUAUGAAGUACGACACCAGCUCUCUGAUGGUCACGGUCAGUGAGCAGCACUUGCCCCUCUGACAGUUCCUGGUACGACUCUGUGGCAUCAUUGGGGGUAUCUUCUCCACCACAGGUCCAGACAACACUCACUCUUACCACCCAGUGUCAUGGGCAGAACUCAUACUGUUCAUGUCUCACAAAUCAUUCCACAGCUGCUUUGCCAGCCUGAUACUGUGCCACGUUAGAGAAAUGCACCCUGAACAUCUUCAUUGAUCUUCUCUCUCCCACAGGCAUGAUCCAUGGGUUUGUUGGCUUCUGUUUCGACAUAGUCUGCUGUCGCUUCAAACUAGGCCCAUAUAAACCUAGAGGUGGUUCUCCCAGAUGCCCAUGUGAACAACCGUGCUGCUCCGCUCCUGACACGUACAGGAGUAGCCCUCUGACCUGAGCCCAUAUCCACAAAGCUCUCUGAGUAGGAGUGCUGAGCUUAGAUCAGUUUCGCCCUUUUGGAUCAUAAGAUUAUAUGGACAGAUCCUAGAUCAGCACUCCUACUGUGAGAUGCUUUGUGGAUAUGGGACCUGGAGACUGCUGCUGAUCGUGCACCUACUGUCCCUUCACCUGUGUGGGAAUCCAGGAAGAGAAGUCUCCAAUCACAAGUAUGUGGAUUGCUGGGAGUUUGUUUUGAACCAAAUAAGAGUAAACUGAUUAGGAUCCGACAAUCAUAAUUGUUCUAUUUAUUGUUUUGGACAGUAUCCUCAUAUGACUACCAUUAUAAUAUAUUUAUAUCCUGUAAAUAUGUAUUUUACACUGACAAAUGGAAAGCAGCUAACUCCCCAGUUUUAUCAGGCUUAGUGUGUAAAGGUAUUUGGACGUUGUUAUCUGUAAGUUAGGCUGAAUGAAAUCUGAUCCUCCUAUGUUAUCAUUCAUACCAUUAACAUGUCACGUUUGUUCUAUUUCUAUCUAUUUGCACUGUUCAGUAUCUGUUUCA